rnacentral:rRNA from 1 species
UACGGAGGGGGCUAGCGUUGUUCGGAAUUACUGGGCGUAAAGCGCACGUAUGCGGCUUUGUAAGUCAGGGGUGAAAUCCCGGGGCUCAACCCCGGAACUGCCCUUGAGACUGCAAGGCUUGAAUCCAGGAGAGGUGAGUGGAAUUCCGAGUGUAGAGGUGAAAUUCGUAGAUAUUCGGAAGAACACCAGUGGCGAAGGCGGCUCACUGGACUGGUAUUGACGCUGAGGUGCGAAAGCGUGGGGAGCAAACAGG